rnacentral:rRNA from 1 species
AGUGAACGCUGGCGGCAGGCCUAACACAUGCAAGUCGAACGGCAGCACAGUAAGCUCUUGCUCUUACGGGUGGCGACUGGCGGAUGGGUGACGAAUGCAUCGGCAUCUACUUUUUCGUGGGGGACUACGUGGGGCAACUGCCGCUAAUACCGCAUACGACCUACCGCAGAAAUCAGUGGUUCUUCGCACCUUUCGUGUUUCAUUGAGCCGACGUCGCAUUAGCUAGUUGGCAGGGUAAAGGCCCACCAAGGCAACGAUCCGUAGCUGGGCUGAGAGGAUGAUCAGCCACACUGGAACUGAGACACGGUCCAGACUCCUACGGGAGGCAGCAGUAGGGAAUAUUGGACAAUGGGCGAAAGCCUGACGGAGCAACGCCGCGUGGGUGAAGAAGGCCUUCGGGUUGUAAAGCCCUUUUGUUAGGGAAGAACAGCUGCGGAAUAAAACACGGAUGUUCUGACGGUACCCAAAGAGUAAGCACCGGCUAACUACGUG